rnacentral:RNase_P_RNA from 1 species
CCAGAUGGUCGGAUGGCCGCCGUCCCGAAACGGGGCGGAGGAAAGUCCGGGCUCCACGAACGCGCGGUGCCGGGUAACGCCCGGCGGGGGCGACCCCAGGGACAGUGCCACAGAGAACAGACCGCCUUGCCCGCUCACGCCGUCUUUGAUGGAUGGGACGCAAGGUCAGGGUGAAACGGUGCGGUAAGAGCGCACCGCGGGACCGGCAACGGAACCGGCACGGUAAACCCCACCGGGAGCAAGACCGAAUAGGGAUGGCACGGGCGAGAGAUCGCCCAGGCGCUGCGUCCGCGUCGCCGUCCGGGUUGGUCGCGCGAGGUGUCGGGCAACCGACAUCCCAGAGGAAUGGCCAUCCAUCGCCCGCAGGGGCGAGGACAGAACCCGGCUUAUAGACCAUCUGGCGUA